GAGGCUCACUGGAAAACAAUGACAUGUGUGGAGAUUCUGGAACGAGCAACACAGCAGCAAACAGGAGUCCUCAGCAACUACCUUAGGAAGGCCAGAAGGGGGUGGAAGCGGGACAUCUUUGAACCAAACCCAGUCAGAAAUGAGAACCUGUCCAGUUCUUCCAACUCAUCUGACCCAACUCCUCAGCAGUGAUUUAUUGACUGGUACAGAUUCUGUUGGAGAGGAAUAAGUGGUAAAUGAAUCCCAAUAAAUAUUUCAAGCAAUUAA